UACGAAGGGGGCUAGCGUUGCUCGGAAUCACUGGGCGUAAAGGGUGCGUAGGCGGGUCUUUAAGUCGAGGGGUGAAAUCCUGGAGCUCAACUCCAGAACUGCCUUUGAUACUGAGGAUCUUGAGUUCGGGAGAGGUGAGUGGAACUGCGAGUGUAGAGGUGAAAUUCGUAGAUAUUCGCAAGAACACCAGUGGCGAAGGCGGCUCACUGGCCCGAUACUGACGCUGAGGCACGAAAGCGUGGGGAGCAAACAGGG
rnacentral:rRNA from 1 species